rnacentral:rRNA from 1 species
AAACUAACAAGGAUUCCCCUAGUAACGGCGAGUGAACCGGGAAGAGCUCAAAUUUGAAAUCUGGCGUCCUCAGGGCGUCCGAGUUGUAAUCUAUAGAGGCGUUUUCCGCGCCGGACCGUGUAUAAGUCUCCUGGAACGGAGUAUCAAAGAGGGUGACAAUCCCGUGCUUUACACGACGACCGGUGCUAUGUGAUACGUCUUCUACGAGUCGAGUUGUUUGGGAAUGCAGCUCAAAACGGGUGGUAAACUCCAUCUAAAGCUAAAUAUUGGUGGGAGACCGAUAGCGAACAAGUACCGUGAGGGAAAGAUGAAAAGCACUUUGGAAAGAGAGUUAAACAGUAUGUGAAAUUGUUGAAAGGGAAACGAUUGAAGUCAGUCGUGUCCAUUGGGUUCAGCCGGUCCUGCCGGUCUACUCCCUUUGGACGGGUCAACAUCAGUUCUGAUCGGCGGAUAAUGGCACGGGGAACGUGGCACCCUCCGGGGUGUGUUAUAGCCUCGCGUCGCAUACGCUGGUCGGGACUGAGGAACGCAGCUCGCCCUCACGGGCCGGGGUUCGCCCACGUCCGAGCUUAGGAUGUUGACAUAAUGGCUUUAAACGAC